UACGUAGGGGGCUAGCGUUAUCCGGAAUUACUGGGCGUAAAGGGUGCGUAGGAGGUCUUUCAAGCCAGAAGUGAAAGGUUACGGCUCAACCGUAGUAAGCUUUUGGAACUGUAAGACUUGAGUGCAGGAGAGGAGAGUGGAAUUCCUAGUGUAGCGGUGAAAUGCGUAGAUAUUAGGAGGAACACCAGUAGCGAAGGCGGCUCUCUGGACUGUAACUGACGCUGAGGCUCGAAAGCGUGGGGAGCAAACGGGAUUAGAUACCCUGGUAGUCCCUGAG
rnacentral:rRNA from 1 species